rnacentral:rRNA from 1 species
AUUGAACGCUGGCGGCAGGCCUAACACAUGCAAGUCGAGCGAGCGGCGGACGGGUGAGUAAUGUCUGGGAAACUUCCCGAUGGAGGGGGAUAACUACUGGAAACGGUAGCUAAUACCGCCUAUCACCACAUUUGCCCAGAUGGGAUAAGCUAGUAGGUGGGGUAACGGCUUACCGAGGCGACGAUCCCUAGCUGUUCUGAGAGGAUGACCAGCCACACUGGAAUGAAGACACGGUCCAGUCUCCUCCGGGAGGAAGCAGUGGGGAAUAUUGCACAAUGGGCGCAAGCCUGAUGCAGCCAUGCCGCGUGGGUGAAGAAGGCCUUCGGGUUGUAAAGCACUUUCAUCGGGGAGGCGUUACCCGCAGAAGAAGCACCGGCUAACUCCGUGCCAGCAGCCGCGGUAAUAC